GAACAACGCUGGCGGCGUGCUUAACACAUGCAAGUCGAGCGGAAAGGCCCCUUCGGGGGUACUCGAGCGGCGAACGGGUGAGUAACACGUGAGCAACCUGCCCCUGACACUGGGAUAAGCCUGGGAAACCGGGUCUAAUACCGGAUAUGACCUGCCUCCGCAUGGGGGUGGGUGGAAAGGUUGGCCCGUUUGGGUCUUCCGGUCAGGGAUGGGCUCGCGGCCUAUCAGCUUGUUGGUGGGGUAACGGCCUACCAAGGCGACGACGGGUAGCUGGUCUGGGAGGAUGACCAGCCAGACUGGGACUGAGACACGGCCCAGACUCCUACGGGAGGCAGCAGCAAGGAAUUUUCGGCAAUGGGCGCAAGCCUGACCGAGCAACGCCGCGUGGUGGAUGACGGCCUUCGGGUUGUAAACCUCUU
rnacentral:rRNA from 1 species